rnacentral:rRNA from 1 species
CACGUAGGGUGCGAGCGUUGUCCGGAAUUAUUGGGCGUAAAGAGCUCGUAGGCGGUGUGUCGCGUCGGCCGUGAAAACCUGCAGCUUAACUGUGGGCGUGCGGUCGAUACGGGCAUCACUGGAGUUCGGCAGGGGAGACUGGAAUUCUGGUGUAGCGGUGAAAUGCGCAGAUAUCAGGAGGAACACCGGUGGCGAAGGCGGGUCUCUGGGCCGAUACUGACGCUGAGGAGCGAAAGCGUGGGGAGCAAACAGG